GACGUAGGAUGCAAGCGUUGUCCGGAUUUAUUGGGCGUAAAGAGUUCGUAGGCGGUUUGUUAAGUCUGGUGUUAAAGAUCGGGGCUCAACCCUGGGACUGCAUUGGAUACUGGCAGACUGGAGUGCGGUAGAGGUAAGUGGAAUUUCUGGUGUAGCGGUGAAAUGCGUAGAUACCAGAAAGAACACCGGUGGCGUAGGCGACUUACUGGGCCGUAACUGACGCUGAGGAACGAAAGCCAGGGGAGCGAAUGGG
rnacentral:rRNA from 1 species